rnacentral:rRNA from 1 species
AUUGAACGCUGGCGGCAGGCCUAACACAUGCAAGUCGCACGAGUGGCGGACGGGUGAGUAAUGUCCGGGACACUUCCUGAUGGAGGGGGAUAACUCCUUGAAACGGUAGCUAAUACCGCAUACCAUCCAGUGUGCCCAGAUGGGAUUAGCUUGUUUGUGGGGUAACGGCUCCCCCAGGCGACGAUCCCUAGCUGGUCUGAGAGGCGGACGAGCGACACUGGAACUGAGACACGGUCCAGACGCCUACGGGAGGCAGCAGUGGGAAAUAUUGCAGAAUGGGGGCAAGCAUGAUGCAGGCAAGCCGCGUGUAUGAAGAAGGCCUUCGGGUUGUAAAGUACUUUCAGCGGGGAGGCGUUACUCGCAGAAGAAGCACCGGCUAACUCCGUGCCAGCAGCCGCGGUAAUUC